CCCCGCGCCCCGGAGCCCCCCGGACCCUGCGACUGCCCCUCACAUACCCCUGGCCGGGCACCGUGUCCCUCAUCAUCGAGUCCUGGCGCCUGGAGGAGGCCGAAGGCUCCGGGGCCCCCCGGCGCCGCCUCCUGUCCCGGGUCAUGACCCGGCAGCGCCUGUCCCCGGG